GAUGAACGCUGGCGGCAUGCCUAAGACAUGCAAGUCGUACGAAGCGGCCCAAUGAAGAUGGAGUGCUUGCACAAUAUUGGAUUUGGAUUUCCGCUUAGUGGCAAACGGGUGAGUAACACGUGGGUUACCUACCUCUAAGUUGGGGAUAACAAUUGGAAACGAUUGAUAAUACCGAAUGUGCUCUACGGAGUAAAGAGCCCUUAAGNUUCGCUUAGAGAUGGGCCUGCGGCGCAUUAGCAGUUGGUGAGUAACGGCUCACCAAAGGCGACGAUAGCGUAGCCGAACUGAGAGGUUGAUCGGCCG
rnacentral:rRNA from 1 species